AUGAUACUCCCUCCGUCCCAAACUUCUUGUCUUAGAUUUGUCUAGAUACGGAUGUAAAGAUACAUCCGUAUCUAGACAAAUCUAAGACAAGAAGUUUGGGACGGAGGGAGUACUAU
rfam:Triticum aestivum genome assembly, contig: Triticum_aestivum_CS42_TGACv1_scaffold_272179_3DS